AACGUGUGGCAGGGCCUUGUGGAGAAGGAGAAGCUGGUCUCUUUCAACCUUCCAUUUUAUGCGCCAUCUAUGGACGAAGUGAAGGCUGUGGUUGAGGAGAACAAUCUCUUCAAUGUGGAACACAUGAGUGUGUUUGAAUCAAGCUGGGAUCCACAAGACGACGACACAAACGAUGAUGUCGUGUUGGGCUGCAGCAGUAGUGGGUUGAAUGUUGCCAGGUGCAUAAGGGCGGUGGCGGAACCGCUGAUUAAGAAACACUUCGGAGAGGCCAUUCUUGAUGAUCUGUUUAUGGUUUAUGCCAGCAUGAUUUCAAAGCACCUCAAGAAAGCGAAGGCCAAGUAUCCUAUAAUUAUCAUCUAUUUGAAGGCCAAGCACUAA
rnacentral:rRNA from 1 species